UUAACACAUGCACGUCGAGCGGAAACGAUGAUAGCUUGCUAUCAGGCGUCGAGCGGCGGACGGGUGAGUAAUACUUAGGAAUCUACCUAGUAGUGGGGGAUAGCUCGGGGAAACUCGAAUUAAUACCGCAUACGUCCUACGGGAGAAAGCAGGGGAUCUUUGGACCUUGCGCUAUUAGAUGAGCCUAAGUCGGAUUAGCUAGAUGGUGGGGUAAAGGCCUACCAUGGCGACGAUCUGUAGCUGGUCUGAGAGGAUGAUCAGCCACACCGGGACUGAGACACGGCCCGGACUCCUACGGGAGGCAGCAGUGGGGAAUAUUGGACAAUGGGGGGAACCCUGAUCCAGCCAUGCCGCGUGUGUGAAGAAGGCCUUUUGGUUGUAAAGCACUUUAAGCAGUGAAGAAGACUCUUCGGUUAAUACCCGGGGACGAUGACAUUAGCUGCAGAAUAAGCACCGGCUAACUCUGUGCCAGCAGCCGCGGUAAUACAGAGGGUGCAAGCGUUAAUCGGAAUUACUGGGCGUAAAGCGAGCGUAGGUGGCUUGAUAAGUCAGAUGUGAAAUCCCCGGGCUUAACCUGGGAACUGCAUCUGAAACUGUUAGGCUAGAGUAGGUGAGAGGGAAGUAGAAUUUCAGGUGUAGCGGUGAAAUGCGUAGAGAUCUGAAGGAAUACCGAUGGCGAAGGCAGCUUCCUGGCAUCAUACUGACACUGAGGCUCGAAAGCGUGGGUAGCAAACAGGAUUAGAUACCCUGGUAGUCCACGCCGUAAACGAUGUCUACUAGUCGUUGGGUCCCUUGAGGACUUAGUGACGCAGCUAACGCAAUAAGUAGACCGCCUGGGGAGUACGGCCGCAAGGUUAAAACUCAAAUGAAUUGACGGGGGCCCGCACAAGCGGUGGAGCAUGUGGUUUAAUUCGAUGCAACGCGAAGAAC
rnacentral:rRNA from 1 species